rnacentral:rRNA from 1 species
AUUGGACGCUGGCGGCAUGCUUUACACAUGCAAGUCGAACGGCAGCGCGGGCUUCGGCCUGGCGGCGAGUGGCGAACGGGUGAGUAAUACAUCGGAACGUGCCCAGUAGUGGGGGAUAGCUCGGCGAAAGCCGGAUUAAUACCGCAUACGACCUGAGGGUGAAAGCGGGGGAUCUUCGGACCUCGCGCUAUUGGAGCGGCCGAUGGCAGAUUAGCUAGCUGGUGGGGUAAAGGCCUACCAAGGCGACGAUCUGUAGCUGGUCUGAGAGGACGACCAGCCACACUGGGACUGAGACACGGCCCAGACUCCUACGGGAGGCAGCAGUGGGGAAUUUUGGACAAUGGGCGAAAGCCUGAUCCAGCAAUGCCGCGUGUGUGAUGAAGGCCUUCGGGUUGUAAAGCACUUUUGGCGGGAACGAAAAGGACUGUGCCAAUACCACGGUUCGAUGACGGUACCCGCAGAAUAAGCACCGGCUAACUACGUG